CAGAAAUUAUUGACAGAUGAACUAGAGUUUAACUAAUUAAAAAUAAAGGAAAAUUACUAUUCAGUUCUUAAAUUUAAAAAUUAGUGUGAGCUCCUUUUUUUUUAUAUAUAAUAUAGGAGUGAUCAAUCCAGACAGAUGAUCGUUUCUGCACAAAAGCAAACAGAACAGAAAGCACUGAAAGGGAGCUCAAAAUAGGUACAAACAUCCAAUUGUUCAGUAUCACUGCUUGGACUUAACGUAGCCUGUUCUGAUAGAAGGAUUCCAUCUAAUAUUUGUUGUACCUUUCGCCACAUAUAAAAUCAAGCAAUCUAAUGAGACUCAUCUUUGAUUCAAUUAGCCAAAUGCUGAGUCAGCACAUCACCUGCACCACAAUUCACAGAUCUAGUACACUUAAUUUAUCAAAAUAUAGUUUCAUUGCUCCCCUGCAUGCAAAGCUCAAACACAGAAUAAAUCAGCAAAAACUAACAAAGAUUCAAUUAAGUCCUAAUAUAAAGGUGACCCAAAAUCUUGUACUCCAUUUACUCAUUGCUCCUUCUGUUCCUCUUGGCCGUCAUCGUUCUCACUGUCCACAUAUUCAUCGUCAUCGUCGUCGUCGUCGUCG
rnacentral:misc_RNA from 1 species